AAACGACAAAGGCAAACCCUGAGUGAUCAGGGGACGCAAAGUAAAGGAUCUUUAAUCAUACUGGUAGAGGCGUAUCAUGAUACGCCUCUACCAGUAUGAUUAAAGAUAGCCCUACCACCGAA
rnacentral:ncRNA from 1 species